rnacentral:lncRNA from 1 species
CUUUUGUACCAGUAUUUUAUUUCUUUUUAUCUAAGAAUUCAUCAGGGAUUAGGAAAUACCAUUGGCAUAUAAAAUUGAUAUUUUCACAAUAAAUCUUUUUUUUUGUUAAUGAAAAUUUUGUAAUCGUGCAGGUAAUAUGCAGCUCGGAGGGAAGAUGUAUGAUUAUGUCAUAGUGUCAUUACAAUCUGUUAAUCACAUGCAAAUCUAAUACAGAUUUGUUUAAAGUACACACCAGCAGUACAUCCUAACAUGCAGGAGGAAAUAGUGAGGACACAGUCAACUGUAAUUGUAAACAUGUGCAUGUAUUCAAAUUCAAGAAGUCUGU